GCGCGAGCACGAGGAGCAGCAGCAGCAGGAGGAGGAGCACCAUCAACACCAUCAGCGCCGUGAGCUGCUGCCUGCCUGCGGCGGGCGGGAAUCACCUCCCCGGGAACCUCUCGUUUGCAAAUUACCUGCUCUACGUUUGCCUCCUGCGACUAUAUAUUCUCCAUGUAGCCCCCUUACAACUUCAUUACCACCGUCUGAACCUAGUUCUCUCUCUACUGGGUAGUUUCUGCGCCGGGUCUCUCCAUCUAUCCACGCCGCUAGGCCUGCUCAUCAUGCUGUGGGUUUGCUCCUCUCGUAUCCCCUUACCUAGUUCACCUGCCGCAUGCCAGUAUCUAGAUGUGCGGCAUCUGCCCAGGCGGAGGCAGAGGUGAUCGGUGAGCUGCUGCCUAUGUGGGUGGCAUAGGUCGAUUCUCGGGGCUACGUAGUAAACGUUCUUGGUAGGCAGUGGGAUUUUGUGGAGAGGGGGAAUGGUAUCUUGAUCUAUGUGUGUACAGUUAGGCGAGUCGAAAUUAAAAUUGUGCGUCAUUGGUGGUAGUGAGGUACGAUUUGUCUUUGAUACGGUAAAUUGGUGUCCGACCCCAAGAUCGGGCUCUGUGACGUGGGUGACGUGAAGCGUCCCUGGCAAGUUGCUUUUCUGUAGCCUGAAAAAGGUGAAUCCCUUGACGGGCUUUGGAGUGUGAGCCGAGGGUUAUAAGGCGGAGGAAGACUCUGCGCCAGGGUGGUUUGAAGGGUUAUUAGACGUCGGAUCAUUGGCCCGAAAUUGUGGAUGUGUUCCUCAUUUAGUUGUUACGAAUCAGUUAGUCUUGCAUUCUCUGAGUUGUGACCGUCUAAAGAUGUUGUAUUGACCACUAUCUCACAGGUAGUUCUUGCAGCACUUGGGUUUACAGAGACAUCCUUCCACUAUCAAGAUGGUAGAGCCUCGAGAAACUCGCUUCGUAUAACAGAACUUUAGACCCAACACCUUGAACACGAAAUUUCAACCGUUAAACCGGUUUGACAUCUCGACCUUAGAUUGUCAGUACUUGUGUCAGGUUGAGUUUCAACGAAGCACUUGCUGGAUCUCGGUUACCCAAUGCCUUGUAGGGUCUCACUCACUAGGUGACCAUCGAGAUUGUGGCGAAUAGAUCUUAAAUUUUCAUGACUUCGGAUAUACACGAAUAGCUGCGAGAUCAUUCCUUAGGCGUGUUUUCGGGGAUUUUAAGUCCAUGAUUACUUCUACUUCAUCCUGCCAACAUCCUGUACAACAAAGCUGUGAGCUACUGUUGGGUCUCAUCCUUACAUCAACGAAAAUCACUUCAUAAAACCAUUUCUGUAGGAUAAAAUGUGCUUUUGGAGUUGUGAACCUUGCUGUGAGGAAUGCCGCAUGGACCGAAGCUAUGUGCUCCAUCUUAACGUGGUGGUAUUGAUACUACGUUUCGGACCAGGCUUCAUUCCCCUCAGCGCAGUUUCAUCAUGGUGAUGGACGGAAGACUCUCAAUAAACACGUGAGGCAACUAAGGUGUGCACAGGCCUGUUAAUGUUGUUCCUAUACUCUGAGUUUAUUGGAGAAAACGCUUGUAUUGUGAGUUGUCUUUCCUGCACCUAGACUGAAGUAAUGCUUAAUUUUAGGUGUGAUAGGUUCAUGAAUCUUAGAAACAUAUGUCCUUAGACUGUUAAUUUUGGAGAAUGUUAGGCAUCAUGGUUAUUCUGUUUGAGUGUUGCUGAGUUUCAUAUUCUUCUUGUUUGGUUGUUUCACAUAAGUGUAUAACAACACUUUCGAUGAUCAAUCAUUCUCAGAAAUUCACCAAUCGGUAUCUACAGUCGAUCACUAUGGACACUGGUCGAGAGAACCUACAGAUGGUGGUUUUUGUUUCACUUUUUACGCUUUCAACUGUCUCGAUACCCGAGCGUGUUAAAGAAUGUGUAAUGUACCUUUUAGCCAUGUAAUAAAAGUUGAUGGAAAGAUCUUUAACUUU